CGUAAAUGUGCUGUCAACCCGCUCCGCAGCCUGCGAAGCCCGCUGAGAGACUUGGAGCGGGGCAGACGAGUUUGAGUCAGCGUAAAAAAAGCGCAUGGCAGCUUCGUGCGUGACAGAAAGAUGGAUGACCGAGAUAUUUCCGCACGCAACUAUUGUUUUUCCCGGUGAGUAUUUUUAACUUUGGCUUGCUUAUGGACAGAGAGAGACCGGGACUGUUCGUCCAGUUACUAAUGUGGUGUUCACACCAAUCCGUGAGCGGAAGGUGAUACAAUAUGGGGACCGGACCCCUCCUCUCCCUGUUCCGAACCCCAGCAUUCCUGUGUGUGCACUUCGAGCCGGUCGCGGGAGCGAGCGAGACAGAAUGUUGCUCAAUUACAGUUUGUGUAUAGUGUAAGUGAUUGCGUGUUGACUUACUCAAGCCAGAGGGGGUUUGUAUGAGGUCACAGUCACACAUUCAUGAGUAGUGUCAUGACCUAAAUUCUUAGAAAAAAAGGUUCCAAAGGGGUUAUUUGUAGAUGGAUAGGGUUCUUCCAAGAACCCUUUUUAUCUGAAGAAUGAACCCUUUUUGGAAGACAAGGGUUCUUUGUUAGGCAAAGACUUCAACCUAGAACAGUUUUCAUCCUAAGAGCCGAUUUUGGAAGAAAGGGUUCUUUGGUGAUUCUUUGGAAAGCAAGAAGGGUUCUACAUAGAACCCUUCUGAAUCUGUAUAAGCUAUUUUAUUGUAUUUUUUCUAUCUUUAUUUAAAAUUGUGCCUGAGCAAUAAUGUUUACCUCAGAGUUUAAACUUUAACAUCAGGAGUUUGAGUAAUCAGCUAAGUUUUAAAAGAUAGCUGUGAGAAUAGUUUUAACUGUAUAUGGGAAUAUUUAUGCAUGUACUGUAUCUGGUAUUCCCUUAAUCAUUUUACAUAUACAGUACUGACAUAGUUGAUAUCUUUGCCAUGAUUUCUGGUUUUCAAAUGAGUAUUUUCUGUGAAUUUAUUGAGCGGAAAGUAGGAGAAUAGAAGGGAGUAUGAGUGAACCAGCAAUGUAUAUUAUGGUACACAGCAAAUUGGCCAGUUUUACCUAGUGUUGAUUUUUCAGUGUAACAUUUCGAGUGGAUUCAGGAGUUACAUUCAACACUCAGUGGUGUAAAAGAACCCUGUGUUGGUAUGAAUAAACAGAGUUAAGUGUGAUUAUGUAAUUUUUAUCUGUGAGGAGUAAAACACUCAAAACCACACCCAUCAUCAUCAUAUUUCCCAGCAUGCUGUAUUGCAGGUUGAUUUUUCAGAAUUGUUUGUUUCAAUGUCUGUGUUUUGGCAUGCACAUUUAUUGGUUGAUUAAUCUUAUGCUACUGUGUUGAUUAAUAACAUACAUUUUCAUGAACUAAUCCAAUCUGUUAGUAUUUCUACUUAUUGCACCCGUUACUGAGAUGGUUGUCCUAGUUUAACGAGACUAGUAAGUGAGAGUAGUAAGUAAUUUUUUGUACUUGUUUUUAAUUUUUUUGUAUUGGUCCCCAGGGGAAUUGAACCCACAACUCUUGCAUUGCAAGUGCCAUGCUCUACCAACUCAGCCACACGGCUGAUUUUACACUGAUCAAUGCAUCACUCCCUGCACUUAAAAAGACUACAUAUUCUUCCUUCUUAGGGUUUGCGCUAUCUUCAAGUCAAAAGAAAAGACGGAGGCAAACCCUCUCAGAUGAUCGUCCCUAAAACCUAAAACAUCUGCAUAGUAGGAGAUGUCGUUAGCUUUUUCAGGGUAACAAGUACGGACGUCGUCGGACGGGGCCACAGUGUCUCCCGAACCCUCCUGUCUCAGCCUCCAGUAUUUAUGGUGCAGUAGUUUAUGUGUCGGGGGGCUAGGGUCAGUCUGUUAUAUCUGGAGUAUUUCUCCUGUCUUAUCCGGUGUCCUGUGUGAAUUUAAGUAUGCUCUCUCUAAUUCUUUCUUUCUAUCUCUCGGAGGACCUGAGCCCUAGGACCAUGCCUCAGGACUACCUGGCCUGAUGACUCCUUACUGUCCCCAGUCCACCUAGCCGUGCUGCUGCUCCAGUUUCAACUGUUCUGCCUGCGGCUAUGGAACCCUAACCUGUUCACCGGACGUGCUACCUGUCCCAGACCUGCUGUUUUCAACUCUCUAGAGACAGCAGGAGCGGUAGAGAUACUCUGAAUGAUCGGGGUAUGAAAAGCCAACUGACAUUUGCUCCUGAGGUGCUGACCCGUUGCACCCGCGACAACCACUGUGAUGAUUAUUAUUUGACCCUGCUGGUCAUCUAUGAACAUUUGAACAUCUUGGCCAUGUUCUGUUAUAAUCUCCACUCGGCACAGCCAGAAGAGGACUGGCCACCCCUCAUAGCCUGGUUCCUCUCUAGGUUUCUUCCUAGGUUCUGGCCUUUCUAGGGAGUUUUUCCUAGCCACCGUGCUUCUACACCUGCAUUGCUUGCUGUUUGGGGUUUUAGGCUGGGUUUCUGUACAGCACUUUGAGAUAUCAGCUGAUGUAAGAAGGGCUUUAUAAAUAAAUUUGAAGUACUGCCCUAAUGGUUAACAUUACUCAAUAGAAUUGGUAAUAACAAGUGGUAAUAACACAGUAAUAACAUGAUAAUAAAACACAGUAAUAACAUAGUAUAAACAGUAAUAACAUGUUAAUAAAUAAGUGUUGUGUGCUUUGGCAUUGCGUGUAUGAACAAUGGUGAUAUUGUCGCUCUCUCCUGACUCUGUUCAUGCAUGUUUUAUUUCCCUGAGAGUUCAAAGAAGACACUUCCAAUCCUCUGGUAGCACAGACUGUUCUGUCUGUUCUGUCAGACUAGAAUAAAAGACAGAGAUGAGUGCACCAAUCUGACCUGUCACCUGAGUGGUUAAUUGCUCUAACUACCAGUCUGUGUACAGGGGUUAGUUGACCUCCUCAAUAACAAACUCCUGCCCUCAUGCACACACAACAACACGCCCUCACACAGAUGCAAACCCACUCACGAAAAAUUCCCUCACACUCACACACACACAUACCUGGUUUGAAGGUGUGUGACAGGUGUUUGGUUGUUGCGUGCCAAAGGACUGAAGACUUCAGCUGCCUUUACAGUCAUUACUCAGAAAGGGAGAUUCUUCAAGGGAAUUUCAAUUUGCUGUGGGCUAAACAGUGUUUUGGUUAUGAUGUGGGCUCUGUAAAUGGACAUCAUGGAUGUAUGUGUGUGACCCUAACAUGACUAAAUAACAGACUACUUGAACAUUUCUUAUUGAUAUUUGUCACGUUAUUGUCCUCAAUGGCUGCCCUAUAGACUUGGAAUCACUGGCCACUUUAAUAAUAGAACACUAGUCACUUUAAUAAUGUUUAAAUAAUGUUUAAAUACUGCUUUACUCAUCUCAUAUGUACAGGAUAUACUGUAUUAUAUUCUACUGUAUUUUAGUCAAUGCCACUCCGUCAUUGCUUGAUCGAAUAUUUAUAUAUUUCUUAAUUCCAUUAUUUUACUUUUAUUGUUGUGAAUUGUUAGAUACUACUGCACUGUUGGAGCUAGGAACACAAGCAUCUCGAUACAACCGCAAUAACAUAAAUAUGUGUAUGUGACCAAAAAAAUUUGAUUUGAAUUUAAUUCCAUGUAUUUGCAACUGUGAUUGUUAGAUAACCGAACCUGCGUUGCAACGAGAGGUCAUACAAACUGUUGGAGGUCAUUGAGCAAGUCACUAAUGAUGAGCAGGGAGUGGCGUGUUAGACCAUAACCAUAUGAACAGAGAAGCCUAUUUCAAACGAGUGUGAUCCUGAUGUUUACGUUGAAUGCUGGACCUGUAUGGAAUAAUGUCCGACCCAUGGCCUCUCACGCUAUCGUCUCCCUCUCCUCUCACAAAGCUGUGCGUAAUGCUUAGUGUGAUUAUAUACUUUAUGUUUAUGCUUAAUAAAUCAGCCUUGGACUGUG